rnacentral:rRNA from 1 species
GUACACGCUGUGACUAGCAUAUCAUAAGCGGAGGAAAAGAAACUAACAAGGAUUCCCCUGGUAACGGCGAGUGAAGCGGGAAGAGCUCAAAUUUGAAAUCUUAAAGGGUUUCCCUUUACGAAUUGUAGUUUAAAGAAGUGUUUUCUGUUGAGGUUUUGGUAAAAGUUCUUUGGAAUAGGACAUCAUAGAGGGUGAGAAUCCCGUAUUUGACCUUUACUUUCAACUUUGUGAUACACUUUCAAAGAGUCGGAUUGUUUGGGAAUGCAGUCCAAAAUGGGUGGUAAAUUUCAUCUAAAGCUAAAUAUUGGCGAGAGACCGAUAGCGAACAAGUACCGUGAGGGAAAGAUGAAAAGAACUUUGAAAAGAGAGUUAAACAGUACGUGAAAUUGUCAAAAGGGAAGCGUUUGACACCAGUGUUGUUUUUCUGAAAAUCAAUUAAAGAACUGUUUAUGCUAAGUUGUUUAGACUUUAUCAGCUAAUCUGUUUAGUUUUGAGCUUUUCUUUAAUGCACUUUUCAGUUAACAAGUCAACAUCAAUUUCUUUUGCUGUAAAAAAGCUUGAGGAAGGUGGCUUGAGAUUCGUCUUAAGUGUUUAUAGCCUCUUGCCUAUGCAGUCGGAGAGAUUGAGGUCUGCAGCGUAGAUCCUUCGGGGCUAAAUGCAUUUGUGCUAAGUUAUAGCAUUUUAUAGACAACUUGUUGACUAUGAUUUGUCUUGUAGCUUACUCGCUUAUGUUAUUUUACCUACGCUUAGGAUGUUGAUAUGCAUGACUGAUAU